GAUGAACGCUGGCGGCGUGCUUAACACAUGCAAGUCGAACGAUGAAGCCCAGCUUGCGGGGUGGAUUAGUGGCGAACGGGUGAGUAACACGUGAGUAACCUGCCCUUAACUCUGGGAUAAGCCUGGGAAACUGGGGCGAAUACCGGAUAGGAGCGUCCACCGCACGGUGGGGGGUGGAAAGAUUUAUCGGUUUUGGAUGGACUCGCGGCCUAUCAGCUUGUUGGUGAGGUAAUGGCUCACCAAGGCGACGACGGGUAGCCGGCCUGAGAGGGUGACCGGCCACACUGGGACUGAGACACGGCCCAGACUCCUACGGGAGGCAGCAGUGGGGAAUAUUGCACAAUGGGCGCAAGCCUGAUGCAGCGACGCCGCGUGCGGGAUGACGGCCUUCGGGUUGUAAACCUCUUUCAGUAGGGACGAAGCGAAAGUGACGGUACCUGCAGAAGAAGCACCGGCUAACUACGUG
rnacentral:rRNA from 1 species